rnacentral:rRNA from 1 species
GUGCUUGCCCUGAUUCCUAGCGGCGGACGGGUGAGUAAGGCUUAGGAAUCUGCCUAUUAGUGGGGGACAACGUUCCGAAAGGGACGCUAAUACCGCAUACGUCCUACGGGAGAAAGCAGGGGAUCUUCGGACCUUGCGCUAAUAGAUGAGCCUAAGUCGGAUUAGCUAGUUGGUGGGGUAAAGGCCUACCAAGGCGACGAUCUGUAGCGGGUCUGAGAGGAUGAUCCGCCACACUGGGACUGAGACACGGCCCAAACUCCUACGGGAGGCAGCAGUGGGGAAUAUUGGACAAUGGGGGGAACCCUGAUCCAGCCAUGCCGCGGGUGUGAAGAAGGCCUUUUGGUUGUAAAGCACUUUAAGCGAGGAGGAGGCUUACCUGGUUAAUACCUGGGAUAAGUGGACGUUACUCGCAAAAUAAGCACCGGCUAACUCUGUGCCAGCAGCCGCGGUAAUACAGAGGGUGCAAGCGUUAAUCGGAUUUACUGGGCGUAAAGCGCGCGUAGGUGGCUAAUUAAGUCAAAUGUGAAAUCCCCGAGCUUAACUUGGGAAUUGCAUUCGAUACUGGUUAGCUAGAGUAUGGGAGAGGAUGGUAGAAUUCCAGGUGUAGCGGUGAAAUGCGUAAAGAUCUGGAGGAAUACCGAUGGCGAAGGCAGCCAUCUGGCCUAAUACUGACACUGAGGUGCGAAAGCAUGGGGAGCAAACAGGAUUAGAUACCCUGGUAGUCCAUGCCGUAAACGAUGUCUACUAGCCGUUGGGGCCCUUGAGGCUUUAGUGGCGCAGCUAACGCGAUAAGUAGACCGCCUGGGGAGUACGGUCGCAAGACUAAAACUCAAAUGAAUUGACGGGGGCCCGCACAAGCGGUGGAGCAUGUGGUUUAAUUCGAUGCAACGCGAAGAACCUUACCUGGCCUUGACAUACAGAGAACUUUCCAGAGAUGGAUUGGUGCCUUCGGGAACUCUG